rnacentral:rRNA from 1 species
GACGAACGCUGGCGGCGUGCUUAACACAUGCAAGUCGAACGGAAAGGCCCUGCUUUUGUGGGGUGCUCGAGUGGCGAACGGGUGAGUAACACGUGAGUAACCUGCCCUUGACUUUGGGAUAACUUCAGGAAACUGGGGCUAAUACCGGAUAGGAGCUCCUGCUGCAUGGUGGGGGUUGGAAAGUUUCGGCGGUUGGGGAUGGACUCGCGGCUUAUCAGCUUGUUGGUGGGGUAGUGGCUUACCAAGGCUUUGACGGGUAGCCGGCCUGAGAAGGUGACCGGCCACAUUGGGACUGAGAUACGGCCCAGACUCCUACGGGUGGCAGCAGUGGGGAAUAUUGCACAAUGGGCGGAAGCCUGAUGCAGCAACGCCGCGUGCGGGAUGACGGCCUUCGGGUUGUAAACCGCUUUCGCCUGUGACGAAGCGUGAGUGACGGUAAUGGGUAAAGAAGCACCGGCUAACUACGUG